CACAGUUUUUAAAUUUUAAAAUAAAUGACUGCUGGCCAAGCAACUAUACACACAACAGAUCUCUCAAAGACCUACAGAGUAAAAGAGAGUAAAUGCUAAUGUUACUAGUUGACUAAUGUAACAUACCUCGUAUACAUUACAGGGCAAGCACAAUAAAUGCUGCAGCUGUUUCACAGCAGGUGUAGCAUGUAAGAGGUUAAAAACAGAUAAAUUGCUUCUGCUGUGGACAA